GCCACAGCACAGUGGUAGAGCAUUUGCUCUGCAUGUAGAAGAUCCCAGGUUCAAGUCCUGGUAUCUUCA
rnacentral:tRNA from 1 species